rfam:Fusarium verticillioides 7600 chromosome 1, whole genome shotgun sequence.
GGUCGUGUGGUGUAGUGGUAUUAUCAUGUUUCCUUUACAUCGCUGAUUAUAGCAUACUAUCGGAAAAGGUCGCAGGUUCGAACCCUGCCACGAUCA